rnacentral:rRNA from 1 species
UGCCCAGCAGCCGCGGUAAUACGGAGGGUGCGAGCGUUAAUCGGAAUUACUGGGCGUAAAGCGCAUGCAGGUGGUUUGUUAAGUCAGAUGUGAAAGCCCGGGGCUCAACCUCGGAACUGCAUUUGAAACUGGCAAACUAGAGUACUGUAGAGGGGGGUAGAAUUUCAGGUGUAGCGGUGAAAUGCGUAGAGAUCUGAAGGAAUACCAGUGGCGAAGGCGGCCCCCUGGACAGAUACUGACACUCAGAUGCGAAAGCGUGGGGAGCAAACAGGAUUAGAUACCCUGGUAGUCCACGCCGUAAACGAUGUCUACUUGGAGGUUGUGGCCUUGAGCCGUGGCUUUCGGAGCUAACG